CACGUGCGGCUCCCUUCUUCCGGCUCAGCUGGGGGUGGCAGGUGGUGGCUGAGCUCGCGUCUGCUUCCCGCGCCCGGGAUCCUCCUUCAGCUCUUCCAGCUCCUGGGCCUGGUGUCGUGUUUAGCUCCAUGCCAAGACCGCCCGCAUCUUUCCGGCAUCCGCAGGACGGUCCAGUCCCGUCAAGGUCAGCCUCAGUGAGAACUUACGGGGGCUCCAUGUGAUGCUAAUGGGGUUCCCACUUCCCCUGGACCUCCCCUACGCUAUGCCUUCCCUUCCGAGCAAGCCUUCCCUGCAGAUGUGUCGCUUCAGAAGUCCUCGCAGGAACAAUGGACUAGCGGGGGUUGCUUACCCAGCCCCGACGAUUGUGUGAAUCAGGGGCCCCUAGCAGAGUGUCAGGUGUCAGGCCUCUUCGCUCUUGCUCCUGCGUCUCUGAUUGAACCCUGAGCAACGAUACAGACGUUCUUGUACAUUUUUCUCUGGCCUUGCCUGGAACAGCUCACCUUUUUUGGCUCUACAAGAUAGGAGAAACCUUUUGAAUGCAGCUGCUUGUUUGGGCUGAUAGAGAGGCCUGAGGAGACAUUUAUUCAUUCCUUUUAGAAGAUAGCCUCUUCCCUUCCCUCUGGAGUUAGCGCUUGCCAGAGUGGCUGCUGUCUGGCAACCAGGCAGUCCAGGGUGGUCAAGUUUCAAAUGUCACUACGCAAAUGGCAGUUCCAAGGACUGAAGUCAAGGAUUGAAAUGCCAAACAUUAAAUGUCCCUCAAAUACAUGUUUUCCCAACUAGUGACUUGCCACAGAAAUAAACAGCAAUUAUGCAAAAGUACCUCCUCCCCCGCAUUUUCAUUUCCCUCCCUGUGUUCCCAAAACCAUUACACGGAGUACUUUGUGACAAAAAGAUGUCUCAGUGUGGCCCACUUAGUAUUUUGAAGCAUAGAAAUGAUGGUAGGGCACAUAUGCCAUAGAACCACUAAAUGACAGAAUCAUCACUGGCCUAGUUUUCUAAGUCACUGUGACAGACGCAAGGGGAUUGCUUUUAAAGCUCCUGAUGACACAUCAAGAAAAGGGAAGAGGAUGUCUCUGCUUUAGAAAAGAGACUUAAAUGGACGCCUGGGUGGCUCAGUGGUUGAGCAUCUGCCUUCAAUCCAGAGCUUGAUCCCGGGUAUCAAGUUCUGCAUCGGGCUCCCUGCAUGGAGCCUGCUUCUCCCUCUGUCUGUGUCUCUGCCUCUCUCUCUUUGUGUCUCAUGAAUAAAUAGUUUAAAAAAAAAGAAAAAGAAAAGAGACUUAAAGAAUCUUAUUUCUGACUUAGGAAUAAGUUUUGAAUUUAGCCUUUUUAUUAUUUUAAAGAUGGUGCACAGAAAAUGAAAAGCAAAUGAUCAGGUACUUACCUGAAAACCCCUGAUGGAGGCACCUUACCCAAUAGCCUGUGAAUGCAUCGAUGGAGAGAAUGGCACACACUUUUUGCUAUUUAGGGUCCUUGGGAUGGCAUCACUUACUGCAGGGGAAAUUUCACCACAGAGCAAUGAGCCAAAGAAAACAUUACUAUUUAACGAUUACAGGCUGCUGUAAUUCAGUUUCCUUGCCACGAACAGCAAAUGAGUCAAGCUAACUAAUGCAGAAGGUUGAACUUGUUUUCUUUUGAGGAGCCCCAGGAGAAGUUCCACAGUGACUUUUUGCUCACACAACCCAGUUCUUCUUCUCUUGCUUGCGUAGUUACUCAUCCAUAUCUGAAUCCAGAUGGGAUCAGGAGAAAUGACAGGAUGAACUUUCAAGAAGAAUCAGGCUAGCUUUUGAUCAUUCUGUGAGAGACGAGGGAGCUUCUGGAAUAUCUCUGAUGUCUAAAAUCUGUCUUGUGGAGAACGCUGGUACCUCAAGUUGUAGUAAGCUUGCACUGAAUCCCAAGUGAAGGGAGGAAAAAAAAGAAAACCCACGUGAUUCAAACUCUUUUAUGGAAACAAACAAAUCAACAAGCAAAAUAAAUCCACACUAUAUGCUCUGAAUCAUUAUAUUAGUAAAGGUCCCUAGGAUAGCACCUUUUGGGAUUGUUGCUUUAUAUCAAAACUUUUUUCUUUAGUUACUAGACUGUCUACUAAAUGAGUUGAAGCCUGUAGACCUUGAAUGAAAAGUAGGUUGAUGAAGUGCAGCAGUUUGAAUUUUGAUGCCAUACAGAGUUGGCAGUUUUAGGAACUAAAAAAGUAGGACUCCCACCAAAUUUGAAUUCCAGAUAAAUCAUGAAUAAUUUUGUAGUAUGAGUAUGUCCCAAUUGUUGUAUGGGUCAUAUCUAUACUAGGAAAUGUUCACUAUUCUCCCAAAAUACUUAAAACUAAAGAUAUUUUCUCAUCUGAAAUUCAGUUUUAACUGGGCGUCCAGUAUUUUAUGUGGGAACCCUAGUGCUAUAGCAGGAUUGUAACGGACUCAUAGAUAAACAUUUUUAUGGGAUUGAAUGGAGGUGUAGGAAGUAUGUGUUACCUGUGCCUGGGUAACCUGCUUUUUGGGUAUAUGGCUGCUCUUAUUAAGAAGGACUCCUCUCAUUUACCUGGUAACAGAGCUGCCAGCAGCUAUCCCUCCACGGCAGCCUGAGGCCUGGGUUGCUGCUGUUGCCCCCGUAGGAGAUCUGCUGGUGAGACCUGUUUCUCCCCGGGCUCUGUGGAGACCUACAGACAGCUGAAACUAUGCCACCUCUUCCCAUCAGUGUGCAGCAUGUUCUGGUAGUGAUGAGAGCUUAGAAUGUUUUACCCUCUUUUUGGUUAAGAAUCUUGUUCUCUUUCCCCACUGGGACUAGAAAAAAGGGAAACUGAUCAGAACUUACUUUUGGGCACACUCAAAGUCUGUGUUUUCUGUGUGAGGCCAUCCAACCUUGCAUCCUGGAGACAGAAUCCUUAAAGACAACUUUGAUCUACUACGUCAAAGCCGACAUGAACCCAAUCAAGCAAGAUGGACAUGUUAUAUAAGAGCCCCUCUGCUCCCAAUUGUUUUUUUUUUAAUUGCUAGUGUCCAAUGUGGGCUGUAUAGAGGAUAUGGAGAUGUCCAAAUACAAAUUUUGGAAGUGACCAAGAGAAAGGAAAAUGCUUGUUGAAGAGGCAAGCACAGAUGCUGUGAGAACUCCUGUCUGUUGGUACAUAACAAGGUGCUGAAGAUCCCAGAGUAGGGAAUGACUGUGUUGUUCCUGGUCAAGUCAUGGAAGAAUUUAUGGAGGCAGGAGGAUUUCAUUUUGGAGCUGAACCCUGAAUGGAAAAGGAGUUUUGUAGGUGGAGGAGGAGAGAGGAGAAAGGUGAGCCUGCUGCACAUGAAUUAAAGACAGAGCGCAUUGGUUCAGGAAUGGUGGCUGAAGAGCAGGUAGAGAUGGUGGUAGAUGAAACUGAAAUGGGGAGUCUGUGUUUGGAUCCUAAAGACCAUGAAUACUUUGCUAAGAAAAUGAAGUCUCAUCUGGUAAGGAAUAAGGAACACAGCACAAAUCUUGCCUUUCCAUGAAGAUAUCACAAAUCCAUGCUAUCAGGAGUUUACAGUCUCUACAAUGACCAGGAAUAGUUUUUUAAGAAGUUUACUAUCAUUUCCUUAUAUUUUUGUAAAUAUAUAAAACAUUAAAGGCAGUUUAAAAAAUAAAAACUCAUAAUCUGAUCACCAUAAUGCCAUUAUUAUAAUUUUUAUAGUAUUGCAUUCUAUUUGCCAUCAAAUUGCAUAUAUAUUUGACAGAAAUGCCAUAAAAUUGCAUCUGUAAAUUUUUAAAUAAGUAAUAUACUCAUAUAAUACAAAAAUCAAAAGAUAUGAAGGAUUUACAAUAAAGAGUAUGUAUAUUGAAUUUUUUUACAUAAUGGUAUAGUCUUCUAUAUCUUAGUAUAAGGCUGCCUCAUUCUUUUUUACUGGCAACAUAAUGUUAUCAAAUUCCCUCUUGAUGGGUAUUUGGAUUGUUUCUAAAUUUUGUUAAUGCUACAGUGAAUAUUCUUGUAACUAUGUUAUUUUGCAUACUUGUGACUAUGGCUGUAGUCUAAUUUUGUAGAUACAGAAUCUCUCUAGGUUUCAGUAUGUAUUUUAAAAAUUCUGGAUGUACUCCACGGAGGCUGUGCCAUCUUAUAAGGAAUGUGUGAAGGUUUCAGGUUCCCCACACUCUAAUGAAACUUUGUAUUAUCAAACUGAUUUGUCAGUUUUGAGAGAUUAAAAGUUAUAUUUAUUUUUUAUGUGCAUGUAUAUGAUUGUGUGUAUCCGUUUUCAUGUGUGUUUAUAUUAUUAUGAAUGAAGUUUAGCAUCUCAUACUAUUUUUUAAAGUUGUUUUAUUUAUUAAGGUAAUAAAUCUUUUUUUUUUUUUUACUUAUUUAGGUAAUCUCUCCCACACCAUAUGGGGCUCAAAUUCAUGACCCAGAGACCAAGAGUUGUAUGUUCUUUCAACUGAGCCAGGCACCCAUAGCAUCUCAUACUUUUAAUAGACAUUAUUAUUUCCUUUUUUGUGAGAACUAUUGGUCACCUUUUCCCUAUUUUUCUAUUGAAGUGUCUUUAUCUUAGUGAUUUUAGGAAUUUUAAAAAUAUCUGUAUCUGAUUUAAAAAGGUCUCUUCCAAUUCUGAGAUUAAAAACAUAUUUAAUAUGUUUUUAUUUAAUUUUCUUUAUUUGCACUGUUGGUUAUCCUGGAAUUUAUUUGGGGUAAGGUAUAAGGAAAAGGUCUAACUGACUUUUUUCCUAGAUGGGUAACUAAUUAUCAAAUUUUG